rnacentral:rRNA from 1 species
AUUGAACGCUGGCGGCAGGCCUAACACAUGCAAGUCGAACGGUAGCACAGAGAGCUUGCUCUCGGGUGACGAGUGGCGGACGGGUGAGUAAUGUCUGGGAAACUGCCCGAUGGAGGGGGAUAACUACUGGAAACGGUAGCUAAUACCGCAUAAUGUCGCAAGACCAAAGAGGGGGACCUUCGGGCCUCUUGCCAUCGGAUGUGCCCAGAUGGGAUUGGCUUGUUGGUGAGGUAAUGGCUCACCAAGGCGACGAUCCCUAGCUGGUCUGAGAGGAUGACCAGCCACACUGGAACUGAGACACGGUCCAGACUCCUACGGGAGGCAGCAGUGGGGAAUAUUGCACAAUGGGCGCAAGCCUGAUGCAGCCAUGCCGCGUGUGUGAAGAAGGCCUUCGGGUUGUAAAGCACUUUCAGCGGGGAGGAAGGCAAUGCGGUUAAUAACCGUGUUGAUUGACGUUACCCGCAGAAGAAGCACCGGCUAACUCCGUG